GAUGAAGAACGUAGCGAAAUGCGAUACGUAAUGUGAAUUGCAAAUUCAGUGAAUCAUCGAGUCUUUGAACGCACAUUGCGCCCCCUGGUAUUCCGGGGGGCAUGCCUGUCCGAGCGUCAUUUCUGCCCUCAAGCACGGCUUGUGUGUUGGGCCCCGUCCUCCGAUUCCGGGGGACGGGCCCGAAAGGCAGCGGCGGCACCGAGUCCGGUCCUCGAGCGUAUGGGGCUUUGUCACCCGCUCUGUAGGCCCGGCCGGCGCUUGCCGAUCAACCCAAAUUUUUAUCCAGGUUGACCUCUGAUCAGGUAGGGAUACCCGCUGAACUUAAGCAUAUCAAUAAGCGGAGGA
rnacentral:misc_RNA from 1 species